GACGAACGCUGGCGGCGUGCCUAAUACAUGCAAGUUGAGCGAUGAAGAUUGGUGCUUGCACCAAUUUGAAGAGCAGCGAACGGGUGAGUAACGCGUGGGGAAUCUGCCUUUGAGCGGGGGACAACAUUUGGAAACGAAUGCUAAUACCGCAUAACAACUUUAAACAUAAGUUUUAAGUUUGAAAGAUGCAAUUGCAUCACUCAAAGAUGAUCCCGCGUUGUAUUAGCUAGUUGGUGAGGUAAAGGCUCACCAAGGCGAUGAUACAUAGCCGACCUGAGAGGGUGAGCGGCCACAUUGGGACUGAGACACGGCCCAAACUCCUCCGGGAGGCAGCAGUAGGGAAUCUUCGGCAAUGGAGGAAAGUCUGGCCGAGCAACGCCGCGUGAGUGAAGAAGGGUUUCGGAUCGUAAAACUCUGUUGGUAGAGAAGAACGUUGGUGAGAGUGGAAAGCUCAUCAAGUGACGGUAACUACCCAGAAAGGGACGGCUAACUACGUG
rnacentral:rRNA from 1 species